UUCUCAGAAAUUUCCAUCAUCUUCUCUUUCUAUAUUCAGAUCUCAUGUAAAUCUACUAUGAUUUGGUUGCCUAAAAUCUGUACAAAUAUAUUUAUGUAUACUUUCUGCCUCCGGCUAUAAAUACAUGGUGGAUCUCCUUGUAAACCCUGCAAAUUCAAUUCAAUUAAGUUAAUAAUUAUUCAUAAAUAAAUCAAUAAAUCUGUGUAACAUAGAAUAUUCGUUCGAUGGGGAGUUUGGUUCAGAUUUGAUGAUGAUGAUGGAGCAGAAUAAGCAGGAGGAGGUUUGUAGUGAUGAUAAGGAACCGCCUCCUUUAUCUGCCACAUAUCCAUGGCUUGGUGUUCAGAACCUUGAAGAUCUAAUUCACGAGUCUUUCUCCAACUUAGACAACCUCUGGUUUAAAUACCAGUGUCGAAUCCCCGAGUUGUCAGGGAAACAUAUCCGGGGGUGUUUCCAUGGGUGGUUGAUUCUCUCCAACCAUCCACACAACAAUAUUUGGUCUCUGUGGAACCUCUCAUCCACUUCUAACAUCAUAUCUCUUCCUCCUUUGUUUUUGAAAGACGGAGAUUAUGAUUCUAUCCGCGAAUGUUGUUUGUCUGCCCCUUGUGAUAAUCCAAAUUCAGUUUUCCUGUUAACAAGAACCAAUAAGCCUACCUUUGUAUUUUGUCAAGUAUCUCCUAAAAAAAUAAAAAGCCUAAGAAAAAAGCCUAGAUGGACCGAAAUGUCAUAUGCUUAUCAACUUAAGAGAAUAACCUGGGAUGGACGUUCACUACAUAGCCUGACUUUUUGCAACGGUCAUAUAUAUGCUUUAUGUGACGACAAUAGUAUUCAUCCGUUUGUCAUACGGGUUGAAAUUGUAGUCAAGGAUAGAGAAGUUGUAGUACAACUAUUACCGUUUGGGACUCUCCCUUUUCUUCCUGACUAUUGUUGUUUCAAACGUCUUCAUUUUCUGCACAAUCCCGUACAGAGUUGUUUUACAUAGCAGUUGGUUUUCGUAGGAGAACUGACAAAACACCCGGUGAUGUGUAUUUGUUUAAAUGUAACAUGAUUAGUGUACACGGAAAGGUUUUCGAAUGCUUCACAAACUGGGACAUGAGUGGUGGGAAACAAGUGGAUGGCGGAUAUUGUUCAAUGAUUUAUAGAUUGAAAGAAACUCACCAAGUGUGGGAAGAAGCGAAAGACCUUAAUGAAGGCAUAUUUGUUGUUGGUCUUGGUGAUGGCCACUCUGAGUUUUACAACUCUGCAAUUGGCUUGAAGAUAGGGGGUUAUAUACAUUUCCAUGAUAAAGUGGACAAACUAAUUUAUUCUUAUCACUUCAACAAUAAAACCAUCGUUCCAUCUCCCAUGCCAUUUUCAGCGCUGCCAACAAGCCACAUGUCAAUGUCGGAAUGCUGGUUAGAAGAUGACCAUAGAGAAGCCAGAUUCACGGUUGAUUCUAAACAACAUGAUGAUGAGAUGAUGAUGAUCAGCUUUACUACAAACAGUGAGGUUGAAGUUAGUAAGUCUCACUUGCUAGAUGUUCCAUUUGAUGUUCUGGAGAUGCUUAUGAAGUUUUGUGUUGGUGUGGAAUACAUGAACUUUCGUGCUACAUGCAAAGGUUGUCAUCUAGCAGCUCCUCUGAUAAAAUGGCGUGACCAAACAGAAUUAGUUGGGUUACAGAAUUAUUCACUAGCUUCACCUUGGCUGAUGGUUGUAAACCAAAUUCUAGGUGUUAUUACUUUCACAGAUCCGCUGUUGGGUGACAUCUACUUCACGGGAAUUUCAGAAUUAUCGAUUGCUGAGGAAACAAUAUAUUGUUCCAGGUUUGGUUAGUUGUUGUUUAAAACCAGUGCUUAUUGUCUAGUGUUUUUUAACCCCUUCACAAAGGAUCUCCGCGAACUUCCACACGCAAAUAACAUGUACCAACGGUUAUGGUUCUCAGCUCCGCCUACUUCCCCUGAUUGUAUGGUGGUUGGAUUUAUUCAUGGAACGGUUGAGAUCCAUUAUGUAUCCGGAGAACCAAUUUGGCAUAGCUAUGAGGUAAGGCCACUUUAUGAAUUUUCCCCUGUCUGUUUUCCAACAUACCAUGAUGGCGAUCUUUAUCACUUGUAUGAGAUGGAACUAAGGGUUUUCAAACAUUUGGGUGAAAAUAAUAUCUCUUCUGAAGUUUUAAUAGCCGAAGCCCCAAGAAGUUGUUGCAGAUCUUCGGCACAAUAUUUUUUGGUGAAAUGUGACCAGCAUCUUUUACUUCUUGUGAUGGGCGGGUUUGGCGAACCCAUGGAGGUAUUCAAGUUGAAUGAUUCUAGAAGAGAAUGGGAUAAAGUAAAUGGUGUAGGAAAGCACAUGAUUUAUAUCUGUGAUGCAACAUGUAUCUGCAUUGAAGCUAAAUUACCAGAAAUGGAGAACAAGAUCUACUUGGCCCAAUCGAGUUCUAGAAACAAGAAGAUGGUGUUUUAUUCGCUCGAAACAAGCACUUAUCACACGUUUGAUGGUAAAAACAUCCAAGAGAAUUUAGCGGAUGUUUUUGUGACUGCGCAUCUUUCCGCUCAUGCUUGGAUUGAACCAAGUUGGUUGAAGAGCCCAUGAGUCUAGACCAGUAGAGAAGAGGAAGGGUUUUUGGUGGACGAUAUGACUGUGCAGAGCGGCGGCUGGUGGUGGUUGUGGACGUUUAAGCCGCAGGGUUAGAGUGUUUUGGAAGGGGAGUAAGGGGGCGUUUGAGUUUUGGGAUGGCGGCUUAACAAAAGUUGUUUUGGUUGAAAUAUUUUCCAGUAUUAUGGUUUGCAAUAUUGUCUUGAGAUAUGUGAACAGUUAGUUCUGUUGAUUCUAGACGUGUGUUUAAUUUCUAGAUUGUUCAUUGUUAAAGAUUUUGGUGUGUAGUUUCGUAUUUUAUGUGGUUUCA